GCCCUUUUGGUACCAAAUUUCAACAAGUCUUUUUACACACUUCUAAACACUUUUCAUGCAUCUUUAGCUCUUGUUAUCAAUCAAAUUUAUUGUAUUCUAACAUAUUCUAACCCCAAACAACACUAGAUAAGUCAUUUAGUGGUUCAACGCAAUGUUUCCAAGUUCUUUGCCCAUUUGAGACCCAAUUUCAACAAGUCUUUCUCAACACAUCUAAACACUUUUCAUGCAUCGUUAACACUUGUUAUCAAUCAAAUUUAUUGUAUUCUAACAUAUUCUAACCCCAAACAACACUAGACAAGUCAUUUAGUGGUUCAACGCAAUGUUUCC
rnacentral:lncRNA from 1 species